AUUUGAGGCAUUGGAGGAAACCAAACCUUGUGCUGUGCUGUGCUGUGCUGUGCUGUGCAUGCAGCUGGAGAUUUGAUUCCCGCCAGCACUCACCUUCAGCUUCCAAAUUCUUCGGACAAGUCAUGUCUAAGCUGCUGCACUGCACCAGUGCACACUGUACACCUUACACACCAUCUGAUCAACUGAACAUGAGAAAUUGGAGGAAACCAAGUCUUGGCUUGCUCUUGCCGUCAGAUUUGGUUCCAUCCAAUUCUCGUAUUCGGUUGCCAAAGUUUCGGCUCCAGAGUUCUCACCAUAACCAAGAUAAACUCAUCGCAUGUACUUGGUUCUACAAUGGCUACCGAUAGAGGCGCUGAAGAUAAGAUGUUGGAGAAAACUGAA
rnacentral:misc_RNA from 1 species